AUCACGACUUUACAAUAAAAUGGCGCGUGACGAACGGCCGAACAGGAAUGCAUUCGAGACCAUUUGUAUGAGCCGUAGCUAGUCGAUAGAAAAUCAUCGAGAUUUCCUUACAUUCGGCUAUGGAUUGGAUUAUUAUGGUUCACACUCAAAUUGAUUUUCAGUUACCAAUGCCAUACAAAUGCAAUUCUACAUUUUUCUAGAUGUUGCUCAUCAUGACGUGAGUACUGAGUAGUUGAAGAAGAUGUUUUUAAAAAUAAGUAUAAAGGAACUUCCAACACAAUUUAUCGGAGACCCAAUCUACUAGUGCCAGAGAGAUGGGGGGUAAUCGACCGAUUAUGUUUGUGGCGAUGUAAAACAGUACAAGACUGCUAAGCUGGCGGCGGCUGUUAGUAUAAGUCGAGGCAAAAUCCAGUGUUGCCAACGUCGGCCAAAGCUCGAACGGUAUUUGUCGUAAGGUCCUCAGUCACCGCAGUUUCUUGGCCGUCAGUUCGAUAGGGACUUACUGCACACUUGGACACUGGCUUGAGUUCCAGAUAUGAAAACUUUAGGUUG